GUGACUUCUAUGAGAAGAAUCAAGCAGCUGCCCUGUGUUAGAUAACGGCCAGUUUCAGACGGCUCCAAAAGGGGCCCACUGCUGGCCACAGUCAAGUCAGGAAGAGAUGUUGAUUGUACCUCUGUGUGUGCAGCAGCUGCUGGGAGUGCAAGGAGUAAGAAGCAGCCCCCCAGCCCCCCAGCUGCGUGCCAUUGCAAGUUUGGGUUGGAGUGCUGAAAAUGGUUCUGUCCUCAGGGAACUUCGAUGUGGUUCAGCCUCCAGAAGCAAACUGGGAAUAUUUUUGUCCAAACUGCCCAGCAUCCUGGUGUGACAAAGCAAAAUUUUUGGCAUUACUGUGGCUCUUUUUAUGUCUCUUGUACUGAAGAUUUUCCUACAGUUGAUUUGUGCUUUUGGGAGAGCUGAAUAAAUCAGACCUACAGCUUAACAUAA